AACGCGAAGAACCUUACCUAGACUUGACAUGCAGCGGACAGGUGCGGAAACGCACUCUUCCGAAAGGACCGUUGCACAGGUGCUGCAUGGCUGUCGUCAGCUCGUGCCGUGAGGUGUUGGGUUAAGUCCCGCAACGAGCGCAACCCUUGUCAUUAGUUGCCAACAGGUAAUGCUGGGAACUCUAAUGAGACUGCCUGGGUUAACCAGGAGGAAGGUGAGGAUGACGUCAAGUCCGCAUGGCCCUUACGUCUAGGGCUACACACGUACUACAAUGGCCGGUACAAUAGGCAGCAAUACCGCAAGGUGGAGCAAAUCCAAGAAAACCGGUCCCAGUUCAGAUUGAGGUCUGCAACUCGACCUCAUGAAGUCGGAAUUGCUAGUAAUGGCGUGUCAGCUAUAACGCCGUGAAUACGUUCCCGGGCCUUGUACACACCGGCUAC
rnacentral:rRNA from 1 species